GUCUUUUAGAAAAAAAUUGAAAGUCUAAUCUGCCCAGUGAUUAUUAAAUGGCCGCGGUAAACUGACCGUGCAAAGGUAGCAUAAUAAUUAGUCUUUUAAUUGAAGGCUUGCAUGAAUGAUUGGAUGAAAGAUUUUCUUUAUUGUCUUUAACAUCUAAAUUUAAUUUUUAAGUAAAAAAGCUUAAAUUGUUAUGUGGGACGAGAAGACCCUAUAGAGUUUAAAAAUUAAUUUAAUCAAUUAUUUCUGGUUUACUGUUAUUAAGUAGAUUAUAUUAAUUUUUUUGUUGGGGUGAUAUUAAAAUUCAAAAAACUUUUAAUUUAUUAUUCAUUAAUUAAUGAUUUUAUGUUCUUAUUUUAAAAACAAAGGACUAAAUUACCUUAGGGAUAACAGCGUAAUUAAACUAUAGAGUUCUAAUCGACAGUUUAGUUUGCGACCUCGAUGUUGGAUUAAGAAAAGAUUUUGGGGCAAGUUCUAUUAUGUCUAGGUCUGUUCGACCUUUAAAUUCUU
rnacentral:rRNA from 1 species